ensembl:lncRNA
UGUGUGUGUGUGUGUGUGUGUGUGUGUGUGUGUGUGUGCAUGUGUGUGUGUCUCACAGUAUAGUACUUUGAUUAUCAGACACAGGAACCAGAAAAUGCAGCCACACCAACAGCAGGGAAUUUAGAUGUUUUCCUUACUUCCUUAGCCUGUUCCUUAUCCAAUUUUCUGAUGUUUCGCUUUCUACUGCUGCCAUUGUUACAACUGUCCGGUCCAUUGUCCAUGUGUAUCUGGUGGUCCAUGGUCCAUUUGUAUAUUGUCCAUGGUCAAUGUGUAUCUGGUGGUCCAUGGUCCAUUUGUAUAUUGUCCAUGGUCAAUGUGUAUCUGGUCCAUGUGUAUCUGGUCAAUGUGUAUCUGACCCAUGUGUAUCUAAUCCAUGUGUAUCUGGCCCAUGGCCCAUGUGUAUCUGGUCCAUGUGUAACUGGCCCAUGUGUACUAUCUGGUCCAUGUGUAACUAGUGCAUGUUUAUCUGGUCCAUGUUUAUCUGGUCCAUGUGUAACUGUCCCAUGUGUAUCUGGUCCAUGUGUAACUAGUGCAUGUUUAUCUGGUCCAUGUUUAUCUGGUCCAUGGGUUUUCGUCCAUGUUUCCAGUAACCAUUUCCAAGUUGUGCGCUGCCUUGUCUACAAGCUAUAGUCAAGCAUUGGAUUCUGGUUAGGAACUUAACAGACAAAAU